rnacentral:rRNA from 1 species
CCUACGGGCGGCUGCAGUGAGGAAUAUUGGUCAAUGGGCGCGAGCCUGAACCAGCCAAGUAGCGUGAAGGAUGACUGCCCUACGGGUUGUAAACUUCUUUUAUAAAGGAAUAAAGUGAGGCACGUGUGCCUUUUUGUAUGUACUUUAUGAAUAAGGAUCGGCUAACUCCGUGCCAGCAGCCGCGGUAAUACGGAGGAUCCGAGCGUUAUCCGGAUUUAUUGGGUUUAAAGGGAGCGUAGAUGGGUUGUUAAGUCAGUUGUGAAAGUUUGCGGCUCAACCGUAAAAUUGCAAUUGAUACUGGCAGCCUUGAGUACAGUUGAGGUAGGCGGAAUUCGUGGUGUAGCGGUGAAAUGCUUAGAGAUCGGGAGGAACACCAGUGGCGAAGGCGGCCUGCUGGGCUCUAACUGACGCUGAGGCACGAAAGCGUGGGUAGCAAACAGGAUUAGAUACCCUAGUAGUC